rnacentral:rRNA from 1 species
GCUUUAUAUCACAAAUAUGUAGCUUGUUUCGACGGAGUUUGGCUUAAUAGAGGAGAUAUUUUGUUGGGGUGACAGGAAGAUAUAAGAAACUCUUCUUUUAGUAAACCAUAAAUAUAUGAAUAUAUGAUCCAGUGAGAGUGAUUAAAAGACUAAGU